CUGGCUCAGGAUGAACGCUGGCGGCGUGCUUAACACAUGCAAGUCGAGCGAGAAAAAUUCUUCGGAAUUUUUUAGCGGCGGACGGGUGAGUAACACGUGGGCAACCUGCCUUAUAGAGGGGAAUAGCCUUCCGAAAGGAAGAUUAAUACCGCAUAAUAUUAUUAAAAGGCAUCUUCUGAUAAUCAAAGGAGCAAUCUGCUAUAAGAUGGGCCCGCGGCGCAUUAGCUAGUUGGUGAGGUAACGGCUCACCAAGGCGACGAUGCGUAGCCGACCUGAGAGGGUGAUCGGCCACAUUGGGACUGAGACACGGCCCAGACUCCUACGGGAGGCAGCAGUGGGGAAUAUUGCACAAUGGGGGAAACCCUGAUGCAGCAACGCCGCGUGAGUGAUGAAGGUCUUCGGAUUGUAAAGCUCUGUCUUUGGGGACGAUAAUGACGGUACCCAAGGAGGAAGCCACGGCUAACUACGUGCCAGCCGCGGC
rnacentral:rRNA from 1 species